rnacentral:rRNA from 1 species
AAGCGACUAAGCGUACACGGUGGAUGCCCUGGCAGUCAGAGGCGAUGAAGGACGUGCUAAUCUGCGAUAAGCGUCGGUAAGGUGAUAUGAACCGUUAUAACCGGCGAUUUCCGAAUGGGGAAACCCAGUGUGUUUCGACACACUAUCAUUAACUGAAUCCAUAGGUUAAUGAGGCGAACCGGGGGAACUGAAACAUCUAAGUACCCCGAGGAAAAGAAAUCAACCGAGAUUCCCCCAGUAGCGGCGAGCGAACGGGGAGCAGCCCAGAGCCUGAAUCAGUGUGUGUGUUAGUGGAAGCGUCUGGAAAGGCGCGCGAUACAGGGUGACAGCCCCGUACACAAAAAUGCACAUGCUGUGAGCUCGAUGAGUAGGGCGGGACACGUGGUAUCCUGUCUGAAUAUGGGGGGACCAUCCUCCAAGGCUAAAUACUCCUGACUGACCGAUAGUGAACCAGUACCGUGAGGGAAAGGCGAAAAGAACCCCGGCGAGGGGAGUGAAAAAGAACCUGAAACCGUGUACGUACAAGCAGUGGGAGCACGCUUAGGCGUGUGACUGCGUACCUUUUGUAUAAUGGGUCAGCGACUUAUAUUCUGUAGCAAGGUUAACCGAAUAGGGGAGCCGAAGGGAAACCGAGUCUUAACUGGGCGUUAAGUUGCAGGGUAUAGACCCGAAACCCGGUGAUCUAGCCAUGGGCAGGUUGAAGGUUGGGUAACACUAACUGGAGGACCGAACCGACUAAUGUUGAAAAAUUAGCGGAUGACUUGUGGCUGGGGGUGAAAGGCCAAUCAAACCGGGAGAUAGCUGGUUCUCCCCGAAAGCUAUUUAGGUAGCGCCUCGUGAAUUCAUCUCCGGGGGUAGAGCACUGUUUCGGCAAGGGGGUCAUCCCGACUUACCAACCCGAUGCAAACUGCGAAUACCGGAGAAUGUUAUCACGGGAGACACACGGCGGGUGCUAACGUCCGUCGUGAAGAGGGAAACAACCCAGACCGCCAGCUAAGGUCCCAAAGUCAUGGUUAAGUGGGAAACGAUGUGGGAAGGCCCAGACAGCCAGGAUGUUGGCUUAGAAGCAGCCAUCAUUUAAAGAAAGCGUAAUAGCUCACUGGUCGAGUCGGCCUGCGCGGAAGAUGUAACGGGGCUAAACCAUGCACCGAAGCUGCGGCAGCGACGCUUAUGCGUUGUUGGGUAGGGGAGCGUUCUGUAAGCCUGUGAAGGUGUGCUGUGAGGCAUGCUGGAGGUAUCAGAAGUGCGAAUGCUGACAUAAGUAACGAUAAAGCGGGUGAAAAGCCCGCUCGCCGGAAGACCAAGGGUUCCUGUCCAACGUUAAUCGGGGCAGGGUGAGUCGACCCCUAAGGCGAGGCCGAAAGGCGUAGUCGAUGGGAAACAGGUUAAUAUUCCUGUACUUGGUGUUACUGCGAAGGGGGGACGGAGAAGGCUAUGUUGGCCGGGCGACGGUUGUCCCGGUUUAAGCGUGUAGGCUGGUUUUCCAGGCAAAUCCGGAAAAUCAAGGCUGAGGCGUGAUGACGAGGCACUACGGUGCUGAAGCAACAAAUGCCCUGCUUCCAGGAAAAGCCUCUAAGCAUCAGGUAACAUCAAAUCGUACCCCAAACCGACACAGGUGGUCAGGUAGAGAAUACCAAGGCGCUUGAGAGAACUCGGGUGAAGGAACUAGGCAAAAUGGUGCCGUAACUUCGGGAGAA